GAUGAACGCUGGCGGCGUGCCUAAUACAUGCAAGUCGAGCGAACGGACGAGAAGCUUGCUUCUCUGAUGUUAGCGGCGGACGGGUGAGUAACACGUGGAUAACCUACCUAUAAGACUGGGAUAACUUCGGGAGACCGGAGCUAAUACCGGAUGAUAUUUUGAACCGCAUGGUUCAAAAGUGAAAGACGGUCUUGCUGUCACUUAUAGAUGGAUCCGCGCUGCAUUAGCUAGUUGGUAAGGUAACGGCUUACCAAGGCAACGAUGCAUAGCCGACCUGAGAGGGUGAUCGGCACACUGGAACUGAGACACGGUCCAGACUCCUACGGGAGGCAGCAGUAGGGAAUCUUCCGCAAUGGGCGAAAGCCUGACGGAGCAACGCCGCGUGAGUGAUGAAGGUCUUCGGAUCGUAAAACUCUGUUAUUAGGGAAGAACAUAUGUGUAAGUAACUGUGCACAUCUUGACGGUACCUAAUCAGAAAGCCACGGCUAACUACGUG
rnacentral:rRNA from 1 species